rnacentral:rRNA from 1 species
UACGGGGGGAGCAAGCGUUGUUCGGAUUUACUGGGCGUAAAGGGCGCGUAGGCGGUCGUGACAAGUCACUUGUGAAAUCUCCGGGCUUAACUCGGAACGGUCAAGUGAUACUGUCGGACUAGAGUACAGAAGGGGCAACUGGAAUUCCAGGUGUAGCGGUGAAAUGCGUAGAUAUCUGGAGGAAUACCGGUGGCGAAGGCGGCAUCCUGGACCGACAUUGACGCUGAUGAGCGAAAAGCUAGGGGAGCAAACGGG